rnacentral:rRNA from 2 species
UACGUAGGUGGCAAGCGUUGUCCGGAAUUAUUGGGCGUAAAGCGCGCGCAGGCGGCCUUUUAAGUCCAUCUUAAAAGCGUGGGGCUCAACCCCAUGAGGGGAUGGAAACUGGGAGGCUGGAGUAUCGGAGAGGAAAGCGGAAUUCCUAGUGUAGCGGUGAAAUGCGUAGAGAUUAGGAAGAACACCAGUGGCGAAGGCGGCUUUCUGGACGACAACUGACGCUGAGGCGCGAAAGCGUGGGGAGCAAACAGG